UACGAAGGGUGCGAGCGUUGUUCGGAAUUAUUGGGCGUACAGCGCACGUAGGCGGUUGGGUAAGUCUGUUUGUGAAAGCCUGGGGCCCAACCCCAUGGACUGCAGGGGAUACUGCCCGACUGGAGACAAGCAGAGGUUGGUAGAAUUCCGGGUGUAGCGGUGGAAUGCGUAGAGAUGCGGAGGAAUACCAGAGGCGAAGGCGGCCAACUGGGCUUGUUCUGACGCUGAGGUGCGAAAGCGUGGGGAGCGAACAGG
rnacentral:rRNA from 1 species